rnacentral:tRNA from 1 species
CGCGGGGUGGAGCAGUCUGGUAGCUCGUUGGGCUCAUAACCCAAAGGCCGCAGGUUCAAAUCCUGCCCCCGCUACCA